rnacentral:rRNA from 1 species
GAGUUUGAUCCUGGCUCAGAUUGAACGCUGGCGGCAUGCCUUACACAUGCAAGUCGAACGGCAGCACGGGAGCUUGCUCCUGGUGGCGAGUGGCGAACAGGUGAGUAAUGCAUCGGAACGUAUCCUGGAGUGGGGGAUAACGUAGCGAAAGUUACGCUAAUACCGCAUAUUCUGUGAGCAGGAAAGCGGGGGACCUUCGGGCCUCGCGCUCUUGGAGCGGCCGAUGUCGGAUUAGCUAGUUGGUGAGGUAAAGGCUCACCAAGGCGACGAUCCGUAGCAGGUCUGAGAGGAUGAUCUGCCACACUGGAACUGAGACACGGUCCAGACUCCUACGGGAGGCAGCAGUGGGGAAUCUUGGACAAUGGGGGCAACCCUGAUCCAGCCAUGCCGCGUGAGUGAAGAAGGCCU